CCCUUAGAUGUUCUGGGCCGCACGCGCGCUACACUGAUGCAUUCAACGAGCCUAUCCUUGACCGACAGGUCCGGGUAAUCUUUGAAUCUGCAUCGUGACGGGGAUAGAUUAUUGCAAUUAUUAAUCUUGAACGAGGAAUUCCUAGUAAACGCAAAUCAUCAAUUUGCAUUGAUUACGUCCCUGCCCUUUGUACACACCGCCCGUCGCACCUACCGAUUGAAUGGUCCGGUGAAGCCUCGGGAUUGUGGCCAGUUCACUUUAUUGGGAGUUGGCUGUGAGAACUUGUCUAAACCUUAUCAUUUAGAGGAAGGUGAAGUCGUAACA
rnacentral:rRNA from 1 species